AGGAGUUCCACAUAUCUUGCAUGAACCACCGGGGUCAAUGUUCGACAGUUCCCGACCCUCAGUACUGGAAAGCACAGUUGCUCUUGACUUACCAACAGGUGUCUGUUCUUUGCAUUCUGGGUGGCUGCACACCUCAAGUCUUUUGCAUAGGACACAAUUUCCAUGCACGCAAUUCGGUUCAUAACCUCCUUGAGCUGAUUCGUUGCAGGUGGUACUGCGGCAGCCUUUGCAAUACCAGCUUCCCGUCGACGUGGAUCGUAUCGGAGGAUCAAUGCAUGACAUGUGACACACUAACUUGCAGACAUUACAUAUGACGGUGCUGACACCUCUUGUCUCCUUGCCACAUUGGUCACAGGCACUGCCCUUUUGAACAUCAGAAACAUUUGUUCGGUCUGGAUAGUCCAAUGGUUGGCAUCCCUGUGAGGUGGAGGGUACUGAUGUAGCUGAUUCGACCAAUUUCUUGGGUUCAGAGCUGCCCAACACAGCUCCCUGUAAUAGUGGUAGCAUACUGUUGAGCAAAGCGAAUAAAUCCAUCAUGGAAACAUCAAAGCUAGCAACAGAAUAGUCACCUUGAGUUCCUCCUCACAAUCACGUGAUCCUCUUUGUCUUCCAACCUAAAGAAUGCAAUACCAAAUUCCAAUGCAAAGGUGCUUAUCAGUAUCAAGUAAAUGUAUGAAAAGAUAUUCCUUUCUAACUGAAACAUAGAGAAGUAUAAAGCAUUCAAAAUAUUAAAACUAAGAGAAUAUAAUUAAAACCCAGCGACCAAAAACUUGCCUGAUUUGUGUAGGAGGCUUCUGUGAGGCUUGAAAGAUUAUUUGCUAGGUCAAUGAUAUCUUGGCCAGCCAUUUUAAGAUUUUCCCAUAACUACACAAAUAUUUCAACUGUUAAUUACCAUUCACCACCCCAAUUUUUAUUUUAAAUACAUGCCAUACAAAAUAAAUUUAUAGUCAGUUUAGAAAGCAGUGAGUAGCAGAUAGAGCUUAGGGAGACCGAAAGGAACUAACGGCAUAGCCUGAAGAGCUUGGAUUUAGAGAAAGAACUGGGUAUCGAACUCGUAAGAACCCAAAAAUGGCAGGUAGUAUGGUAGCUGGUCUAGUGUUCAAGUCAGUGCGAACACCGAACUGGAUAGAGCGCCGGUGGCACAGCCAUUACGUUAUUUCCUUUGAGGGAUAUACAACUUAUGAUUUGCAAAUUUGCAUUACUCUCAUGAUCAUCUAAUUGUUAUAAUUUUGAGUGAUGACCAUGGAAAACAAACAUUAUACAUUUUGUUAUUCCAUGGUGGUGCACACAGAGAAUACAGUGAACAAUGGUAGACAUGUACUCCCUCCAUAUAUGGAGUAUAUAUUAGAUCUAUAACUAUUCCAUUGUAUAUAGUUUUCCUGCAUAUAUACCAUAAUGCAUACAAGUGCUAUUCAUAACAGGGGAUCAGAACAAACUAGAAUAUCUCUCUAGAACCUCAUAAUAUAUGCUAACGGGAUUUUACAUAUUUGCACAUUGUCAAAGUUAGCUGUGAAACACAAUACUAAAAGAAAUAUUGAAAGCUGAAAAGUUGCAAGUUUAUUACCAGUUUUAAAUCAUCUUUGAAUAUUUCAGGUGCACACCCAUACUCUCCAUUUUUCAUUCUAGAGUCAAUCACACCAAAAUCGAAAUACUUAGUCCUUUCCUCAUCUUGAUGCACAGUUUUGCGAAGAACAUUGCAUAACAAGGCAAAAUCCUCUGAUCUCAAAAUGUCCACAAGAACGUUCUUGCACUCAGCAAUACCCGUAUUCGUUGACACUGUUCUGUCAGAAUCCAUUUCCACUUUGUCCCUGAGCUGAUAUAGUAGAGAAAAAUAUUGUCGGCAUUUGAUAAGACAAUGCAAUACAACUGGUCCCUAAAUAAAAGUGUAAUAAGUGUAUAACAACAAAAUACAACUGCAAUUUUCUAGUAAUAAUUAGUCUUAUCACUUACAGAUUCAAAUUCAGAGCAACUGUGGAGGACAUCACGGAUGCAACUCUGGAUGCCAGCACCCUCCUGUACACCAUGCAAAUGCAUCAGUCCAUUCAAAACAUAUCUCCAGUGACUCCAACAGUCACUUCUUCUAGAUAGCAUCUCAGAUUUGUUUUUGUUACUAUAUAAUAUUCCGUGAGGCCCCUCCAUGAGUGGCUGCAUGAUAAACCGUUCAAAUUAGUACUUAAGAGAUUAAGCCAGAGAAAAUAAUGAUACAAGAGAUAACUGUAAUGUUACUCCUACAAUGGAAAUAAGCCUGUCAAUUAAAAGAUAAUGACAAGUCUGUCAGUAAUAAAUCACUAGGUUAAGCAAUCUUGACUAUUGACUCUCCAUUAGUAUCCAAAUUUCUACCCUAAUGCUCUAUAAGAAAAUGGCCCAGCUAAAAUUGAUAAUAAGUUCCAGGACAGUGAGUCCCUGCUACACCCAUGAAGCUGCUACAAUUUGUUACUUGUGAAGAGAUUGUACAUUUAUUCUAGCCCUAGACUUCUUGUAGAGGGGUCAAAAUGCAUUGCCUCCACCCAAAGACAUACAUGUCAUUAAAACACUGAAUGUAGUCUACUAAUCGAUUCUCAUAAUUGAUAUCCCGAUUCCAACACAGUGCAGGAAAAGAAUAGAAGCAAACAAGGACUCACCUGAGAACCGGAUAUAGUAUUUGAUAACGUGUUGCAUGUAUUUGAUGUUCUGUUAGCUUCAUCAAAAGCUUGGGAAGAACUACUAUUCAGCACAGCUAUAGUGAAAUGAUCUUCAUCAAAUUGUGAACUCAUAGAAGAGCAAAGAAUGUCACCACUGUCAAUACCGGCAUGUGGACCUGAUCUUCUCACUUUCUUCUUUUCCCUUGAUAUCAUUUGGUCUCUAACCCUCUUAGCGGCAUCUUCCGGAAUUUUACAGCAUCGAGGAUGAUUUUGCCAGCCAACAAGAUGCCACUUUAAUCUAGUUACACCAUGAUAACCCUCUAAGCUGCACCACUUGCACUUCCAGUGUCCUUUUUCUCUGUCAAAAACCAGUGAAUGUUCCCAUGCAUUGUCCCUUAACCUUGUCGGGUAACUGGAAUGCACCUACAAAUUCACACGGGGCAUCUCGUAAAUACAAAAUAAAUCAUGACAUGCAUGUGCAUAGUGAAAUCAUGCCUUGCCUAACAACAUAUGAUAUGAGAACUGCAAACAGAACACACCACUCAUAUAGUGCUAUGAUGAAUGAGCUGUGCAAAAACUGACAAUUCAACAGUACAACAAGAUAGCACAUCAACAAAGAAUAUAAAUGAAACUGAGGAAGUUGGACACGGAACACUUAAAAUAAACUAGGUUUGACUUUGGAGUGGUUCUUAACAAAGUUAAAUUUGCAAGGAAUCAAGGAACAAGGACGCUUCUUUGUGGAACAGGGGUAUAUGUUAAAAUGGAUGAGCAAUUGAGCAUACUGCCCUAAAGGAAAAAGGAUCAGAGUUAAACUGCAACUGAUUACUUCAAACUUAUAUUUUCCAGCUCUGCGAGAUACAGCAAUAGAAUAUAUUCAUUCAAUCCAAAAGAGGAUGUGCAAGCACCAAAAGCAAAUAUAAAGUUUCCAACAGUAUGCUCACUGAGACAGAAAGGUGUGUCCCAAUUUGAGUUGUGAUAUAAAUACAUGACAAUAGCAAUUAGCAUCUUGGGUCUUAAUUGAUAUUGAAGUUUACACUUUUCCCUAAUGUCAUGAUAGAUGUUUAGCAAAUGGCAGGGUUGGUGAAGUCUGUUCAGUAGAACUGUGUCCAUUCUGGAGAGAAGACCAGCAACCUGAGGGAGCGUCAUUAACUGUUAAAGUAUCAGAUGUUCAACAUCAACACUGCAUGCCAUUUCUUAACAAAAUACCAGAGCAAGAUCUUUUCAGUUUUGAGGUUGUACAAAAAAAGUGUGGCAUAAAGAGAGAUUAAGAUUACAUGGUUCCUGCUAAGAGAAGCCAAUAAAUAUGCAUUUUCCAAAAAUCUCGCAUGUCAUACUUUGAUUGUCCCAUGUAAUGAGUCAUGAUUGUAUUAUUAGUAAUUACCAAUAUACUUAAUGGAUUAUAUAAAUAACCACAACUGGCACAAAACUGACAGAGCUAGCAGAAACUAUAAAUCAUAACCAAACUGACAUAUAAAAUAGCAUGUCUUAAAUUAAUGGACCGAUUAAUAUAGCCACAGGGAAUAAUAUAAAUGAGAAUACAGUUAUAAAGUUCACCUCGCUCGACAAAUCAUUUAUUGGCAAUUGUGGAAGAUUGCUAAAUGCUGGAUCAUUGUUCUCCAGUAUUACACUGGAUUGCGCAAGAAUUUGUGGCUCUGGAGGAGCUUGCUGCCCAGUCUUUUUCAUCCCGGGCCUUCUCUUUAUUAGAAUAUGGUGUUUUGCCUUUGCAAAAACUUCUUUAGGGACACUUGUGCACUUAGGAUGACGAAAGACGCCAGCAAGAUGAUAAUGGAGCCUAGAUGUUUUGCCAUGUCCAUCCAUACCACAGUACCUACACCUCCAAUGCCUUGCAAUUUCAUCAAUGAUAACAAUAUGUUUCCGUAAGUUAAACCUGGUCUUCCGAGGAUGUUUCAAUAUCUACAAAUAAGUGUAGAAUCAGAGAAGAAAACAUUAAAAAAAAUAGCAACAUAGAAACAUAUAUUAAAUACCGAUUUUAUUUAGUAGAAAUUUGAAAAAUAAGUAAGUGUCGAAAUACAGUAGGAAAACAAAAGUAGAAUAGCCCUUAUUUUUCCUGUUAGUUUUGUUUAUCAUUCGCCUACCUUUUUUGGAUUUUAAUUUCUGGAUAACUCUUACAAAACAAAGCAUAUGAUUACACCAUUGUUGCGUCUGAGAAGAGUAGGGAAGGACCCCAUAUCAAAGUUUAGUAAAUUAAUCAUAGAUACAGAGGUCUAAGUAGAAGACGCCAAAGGCCACAAGUAUCCUAUUACACUCAACGCCUAUCAGAAGAAUAGAAAAAGCAAAACAAAUAUGGGAGUGACUAUUUGUAAGAGCAUCUCUAGCAGAACCCUUAAAAGCUCGUCACCCCAUUAAAUUCUGGCCGAUAUACAGGAUGCGGAAAAAAACAGCCCGAUCAGAUACUGUAAAAACGGCCCGGCCCAUAAAAAAAUUACGAGUAGCCUAUAAAACUCUGCCGAAUCCGCUGUAUGUACCAGAAACCAGCCGGUUUAGGGUUUGCAUCCGGCAAAUCCCUUUUCCCCUCCGCCGUAAUCUAGCACCCUCUGGCGACAAAUCAAGAUCCCUCCGGCCGUUGUUUGCCGCGCGCACAGCCUCAAAAAACCGGCACCAAUGUCUAGCGGAGGACGCGGGCGUGGUGGUCUAGGGGGCCGAGGCGGCUCGCCGCUGCAGAAGCGGGGCCGUCAUGACGACGAGGCCGGGAGCUCCGCCAUCCGGCCGCCGGUGCAGGAAUUGAGCCGCAUGAGGGCGCAGGAGCGUGACGCCCUCUCCCGCAGCGGCGGGAACGGACGUGAAGGAACUUCAACCGCCUGCACGAGCUCCUUUGGCCGACGACAAGCGCCUCCGAGCGGUGGAGCACAAGUUCUUCGAGGCGAAGGAGGCAGACGCCACCGGAGAAGAAGGGGCCGCCAUGCAGCUCGAGGUGGUCAGGGAAGAGUACGUCUCCGCGCAAGCCCUCUCCAGCUCCGCCAUGGAGUAUCAUCUCCAUGUCAAGAAGGAUGAUGAUGAGUAGAUUAGGUUUUUAAUCUAGUAUGUUUUCAUGUUUGUCGUAUGAACUAUGUUUAAAUCUAGGGAAGUAUGUGGCGGGAACUAGCAUGUUUAAAUUAUGCGGUAUGUGUUGAAGGAUCUGAUCUUUCGUGCCGUCUGUUGUACCACAAAUUCGGUUUACAGUAUCCCAUAAAUGAAAUUUGCGGUACCGCAGUUUACAGGAUCUGCUAAAGAUGCUCUAAGUCACCUGAAAACUAAAUUUGAGUAAGUCAAUUUUUUGGGCCAUCGGACCGAAAUCGGACGUCCAGCCUUCUUUCUUCAACCUCCCGUCUGCUCCUUCCUCUGGCCACCCGAUCUAGCGCUAGCCGGGCGGCCUGCCACCGCCACCCGUGGCGCUCCCAUGCACGCCUCGCACUCCCCUGCCCCCCCCCCUCCCUUCCCACCGUCGUGUUACCGCUGCCCCAGGCCAUCCCUCUUGUUCAAUGCAACUCUCGAUGUAUUGAUCGGGUGCACGGUGCACGUAUAUAAGUACAAGGGCAGCCCUCAGCCUCAUCUAUACAAGGAAACUAGNNNNNNNNNNNNNNNNNNNNNNNNNNNNNNNNNNNNNNNNNNNNNNNNNNNNNNNNNNNNNNNNNNNNNNNNNNNNNNNNNNNNNNNNNNNNNNNNNNNNNNNNNNNNNNNNNNNNNNNNNNNNNNNNNNNNNNNNNNNNNNNNNNNNNNNNNNNNNNNNNNNNNNNNNNNNNNNNNNNNNNNNNNNNNNNNNNNNNNNNNNNNNNNNNNNNNNNNNNNNNNNNNNNNNNNNNNNNNNNNNNNNNNNNNNNNNNNNNNNNNNNNNNNNNNNNNNNNNNNNNNGCAUAGACUGGACCGGAACUCCUCAAAUGUAGGCGUCGGUAACCCCUUGGUCAUAACAUCGGCAAACUGCUGAGCGGUGGGAACAUGAAGGACACGGAUGCGCCCAAGAGCCACCUGCUCUCGCACGAAGUGAAUGUCGAGCUCAAUAUGCUUCGUGCGACGAUGAUGAACGGGGUUGGCGGAGAGGUAUACUGCAGAGACAUUGUCACAGUAGACAAUGGUGGCCUUCGGAACAUCAAGAAGCAACUCCUGGAGAAGCUGCCGGAGCCACGAGCACUCGGCGACGGCAUUGGCCACAGCACGAUACUCAGCCUCAGCACUGGAGCGGGAUACCGUGGGUUGUCGUUUAGACGACCACGAUAUGAGCGAGGGCCCCAGGUAGACGCAGUAGCCGGAAGUAGAGCGACGGGUGUCCGGACAGCCAGCCCAAUCGGCGUCACUGUAGGCAACAAGGUCGGUCGAGGGCGAGGCCGUCAACGUAAGACCCAGAGCCGUGGUGCCGCAGAUGUACCGAAGAAUCCGCUUCACCAGGUUCCAGUGAGUGUCGCGAGGGGCGUGCAUGUGGAGACACACCUGCUGGACGGCGUACUGCAGGUCCGGCCGAGUGAGUGUCAAGUACUGAAGGGCGCCGACGAUGGAGCGGUAGAACGCCGCAUCCGGCGCGGGUGAGCCGUCGAGCGCAGAAACCUUGGCCUUCGUGUCGAUAGGCGUGGGGACGGGCUUGCAGUUAAGCAUGCCGGCCCGCUCAAGAAGAUCCUGCGCAUACUGCUGCUGGUGGAGAAAGAACCCGUCGGCGCGGCGUACCACCUCAAUACCAAGGAAGUAGUGCAACGGGCCGAGGUCCUUAAUGGCGAACUCGGGGCUGAGGCGAGCAGUAUGCUGGCGAAGGAGCUCUAGCAAGGAGGCCGUCAGGAUGAUGUCGUCGACGUAGAGGAGCAGGUAAGCAGUCGCCGGAGCCUGGUGGUAGACAAACAGCGAGGCGUCGGAGCGAGUAGCUCAGAACCCAAGCUGCUGCAGGAAGCCAGUGAUCCGCUGGUACCAGGCUCGAGGGGCCUGCUUCAACCCGUAUAACGAGCGGGAGAGCAAGCACACGUGGUCAGGACGAGCCGCGUUGACGAAGCCAGUAGGCUGCUGACAGAAGACCUGCUCCGAGAGAUGGCCAUGCAAGAACACGUUCGACACAUCCAUCUGAUGCACCGGCCAGGCGCGAGAGACCGCGAGCUGAAGGACCGCGCGAAUCGUGCCCGGUUUUACAACCGGGGCGAAGGUGUCGGUGAAGUCGACUCCAGCACAUUGCCGGAACCCGCGUACCACCCACCGAGCCUUAUAGCGCUCGAGAGACCCGUCAGGGCGAUUCUUAUGCCGGAAGACCCACUUGCCAGUGAUGACGUUGGCAUGGGCGGGCCGCGGGACAAGCUGCCAGGUGCGGUUGCGCACCAGCGCGUCGAACUCCUCUUACAUCGCAGCAACCCAAUGCGGAUCACGAAGCGCGGCUCGAGCUGAUGACGGGAGAGGUGACGGUGCAGACGUCGAGGCAGCGAGGAGGUACUCAUCCGCGGAAUAGCGCGUGCUGGGUCGGUGAAUACCGGCGCGAGCACGGGUGACCAUGCGGGUGUCUGGGGCGGCCGGCGGGACCGGCGGAGGGGCCGGUGGAGAAGCCGGCGGGGCUGACGGGGUCGGCGGGGCCGGCGGCGCAGCUGACGAGGCCGGCGAUGAGGCCGGCGAGGCCGGCGACGGGGGAUCGACCGAGGGCAGAGUCGACGAAGAGCCCAUUGGGAUCACCGGGGAAGCCGUCGAGGAGCCAGGGUCAGGCGCAUGAGAUGCGCUCGCUGACCGGGCUAAGGACUCAACGGGAGUCGGGGGCGCCAUGGCCGCCGGCGAGGAAGCAGCCGGGCCGGCGGGAGAGCCUGGGGCGGCGGGUGAUGGGGCCGGGUCCGAUGCCACGGACCCAGACCGGUGCCCAGGCGCGGCGGGAGCGCCGAAGCCAGGGGAGGCCCACGCGCUGCAGGGGGGCCGAGCGCAAGUGAGCGGCCGCCUCGAGGGCGCCAGGAGGCGCGGGUGACGAUGGCGAGUCGACCGGCGGUGGUACCUGGUGAAAGGGAAAAAACCUCUCGUCAAAGUAAACGUGCCGUGAAGUGAAAACUCGGUGGGAAACCGGAUCAUAGCAACGAUAACCUUUGGUGUUUGGUGGGUAUCCGAGAAAGAUGCAUGCCACGGAGCGAGGUGCGAGUUUAUGAGGAGUAGCGGAGACGAUGCUAGGAUAACAGAGACACCCAAAAACACGAAGGUCGUCGUAGGAGGGAGGGCUACCGAAGAGGAGAUGAUGUGGUGCAAAGUUCCCAUGAGCACGACUCGGACGAAUGUUGAUGAGGAGAGAGGCGGUGGAGAGGGCGUCCGGCCAAAACUGGGGCGGGACAUUAGCGUGGAAGAGAAGAGUGCGCACAUAAUCAUUGAGAGUGCGAAGGAUCCGUUCGGCGCGACCAUUUUGUUGCGAGGUAUACGGGCAAGUGAGACGAAGAAUCGUGCCAUGUGUGGCAAGGAGGGUACGAACCCCGACGUUGCCGAACUCCUUCCCGUUGUCAGUCUGCAAGGCAUGAAUGGGACGCCCAAACUGCGUAGCGACAUAGGAGUAAAAGGUAGUGAGAACGGAGAGUGCAUCGGAUUUUCUCCGCAACGGGAUGGUCCACACAUAAUGCGAAAAAUCAUCAAGUAUGACAAGAUAGUAUAAAAAACCCGUAUUACUGGCAACAGGAGAUGUCCAUAAAUCACUAUGAAUCAACUCAAAUGGAUACGACGCCACCGAUGAGGACGCACUAAACGGAAGACGGACGUGCUUGCCGAGACGACAAGAAUGACAAGUAUGAUCAUCAGUUUUAUUACACGUGAAUGAAGAAGUCCUAAGAAUAUGACGAAGGGUGGCCGGGUUCGGAUGUCCCAGCCGAGCAUGCCAAAGGUCCACCAUGGCGGAGAGAGCGACCGGAGCGGAUGUGGAGGUGUUGGUGGAGUUCACCGGGUAGAGGCCGUCCGGGCUAUCACAUCGGUGGAGUACCAUCCGGGUACGGGCGUCCUUGACAGAAAAACCCACUUCGUCAAAUUCAACAGUUAUAGGAUUUUCACGUGUAAGAGAACGAACUGAAACAAGAUUGGUGACUAACUCAAGUGAAACUAAGACAUUAGACAUAUGUAUAGGCAUGGAGUUAGACGGAAAAGAACCAUGACCGACAUGAGUAAUGGGAAGGGAUGAAUCGUCCCCAACAGUGAUACGACACAUGCGGUAAAAACUGGAUAUGCGGAGUUGAGGUUACCAGGGUUGGAAGUCAUGUGGGCGGUAGCCCCGGUGUCCAUAUACCAGUCGCCGCCUCCGGUGUAUGUGUUGGGUGUAGGAGCGGAGUGAAGCGCCGAGGAAAGGUCGGGUCCGGAAGGAACGUGAGGUUGGAGGCCGCGUUGCUGAACUCCUCGUUCAGUCCGGCGGUGAGCGUGCUGAGGAGAAGGUCGUCGGAGACCCGCUCCCCGAGGUCGCGAAGUUCGUCGGCAAGUUUCUUAAGGCGCAUGCAAUAAUCGUCGAUCGACGAGUCAAGCUGGUGGCAGCCAAAAAAUUCUUGCUGAAGAAACACGCGGCGCUAGAGGGCGUUGUCGAGGAAGAGCCCGUUCAGCUUCGCCCACACCGUCUGUGCGUCAUCGGUGUCGCAAACGAUGGUGUGGAAGAUGUCCUUGAAGAUGGUUUGGUACAGCCAGCGGGUGAUGGUGGCGUCGAUGGUCAGCCAGUCGUCAUCCGCGAACAUGAGGUCGGAGUCGACGAAGCCAUCAACGUGAUCGAUGAGGUGGUACUCGCGGAAGACGAGGGAGAAAUAAAUCUUCCAAGCAUAGUAGGUGGAGUUGGCGUAGUCGAGGAUGACGGGCACGCGGGCGAAGAUGUCGAGAUCGCGAACGACCUCCACCGGGGGAGGGGCCGGACCUUCGAAGGGGUUGGAGGGAAGGGAGGCAGCGGCGUGGGAAGAGGCCAUUGGUGCGGCGCGGCGACCGAGGUGGUGGCGGCGCGGUGGUGGCGAUCGGGUGUGGAGGGAGAUCGGGUGGGGAGGCGGCUCAGGAGAGGGAGACGGCUCGGGAGAGGGGGCGGCUCGGGAAGGAAAGGGAGAUCGGGGUGGGGAGGCGCACGCGGCGGCGGGGUUCAGGUGCGGCGGCGGCGCGGGUGGAUGGCGGCGGCGGCGGCAGCGUGGUGCUGCGGCGGCGGCGGCUAGGGAGGAGCGGAAGCUAGGGUUGGAUCGGGAAGAAAACUGAUACCAUGUUGAAGGCAAUGCAACUCUCGAUGUAUUGAUCGGGUGCACGGUGCACGUAUAUAAGUACAAGGGCAGCCAUCAGCCUCAUCUAUAGAAGGAAACUAGAGGCGGGGCCGGUAGGAGAUUAUCCUAACAGAUACAUGCACAUAAUAUGUUCAACACCUCUAAACCUCCCGGCGUCAGAUUUCUCCGGUGAGCCCGCACCUCCCCACCCAAACCAGUCAAUCCUCGGACUCAUCGCGGCGCCGUACUCAGCCUCAGGGCUGUGCAUGUCUUCUCUCCAGAAUCGACUUACGCGAAUUCAAAAUUCAGGUGACUUGCAAAUAGGUUGUGCGAACAAAUAUAUGGGCAGAUAUCUUAGUAGCUAACAAAAGAUAUGAAAACAAUUGUCGAAACAGAUGACAAGCCAACCACUUGAAACUGCCACGUUGAGGGAAGCGCCCUUUAAUCUAAAAGUUACAAUCUAAAACAGUAGUCCUCGAUCUAAAUUUAUUAGGAGGGACUACCUAAGUUUGAAGUCAAAUAUGACAAAUCCAGAAGUGACCGAUUCUUCCAUGGAUGGUGUUUCAUAGCUCCAUGGAGCUACGGCAGGAAUGUUACAUCAUAAUUAGUUUGCAUGUAGAUAUGAGCAUAGUUUACAAUAAAUUAAAGUAUUGACAGGCGUAUGAACAGUUAUCCUGGCUACACGUGAACCAAGGGUGCACAACAUACUGCUGCGUUGUAAAUGGCCAAAAACCCAAUUACAUUUUAUUUGAAAAUAAAUGAACUUCAUGCUGGACAUACAACCAUUUUUUAAUGGGUUGUGCAACAAGAUUACUAGACUCAGGAAAAAAAUUAAACAGAGAUACCAAACACCACUGGAUUAGUGUACUCCCUCCUUCCCAAAAUGUAAGGCGCGCUUGACUUUGCAUAGCCUUUGAUGCACCACUUGGACCAUUGUUAUGAGCGGCAUAUAUUACAGCCCAGGCAUCUAGGGGCCUGGCCCAGUUAUCUUAUCGUGUUAGGGGCUUAGCCCAAUUAUAUCAUUAGGAGGAUUAUAUAAGCUCAUGUAAGGACCCGUUUUGAGAUUAAGCAAGAAGCAAUCAUAUUUGCUCGGCUUCCUUAGGGAGCCGGGAGACCUAACCCUAACCGCCUCCUACCCUCGCGCCAACCUGCUCCCUAGUGCACGACGGCGCCCAGCCGCCGGCGUCCGCGGGUUCGUCCACGUCCAACACCCUCCUUCCCCUACAACCUCCGGCCUAGACCCGGUAGAACCCUAGUUUCUACCAGUUUGGUAUCAGGUAGCUCUGUUCCGAUCAUGUCUUCGCCGCCGCCCAUCCCGUCGCUUCCGCUGCCGACCGUCACCACCGCGCCGCUGGCAUUGUCCACCGCGCCACUGCCCUCCCCGUCCGCGCUGCUGGUCGCGUCCUCCGGUGCCGCCGCCACCCAGAUGACGGCGCCCUCCACCGCACCACCGGCCGCCACCUACACCCCGAAGGAGAUCACCGGGGUCCUCAACGAUCUCGUCACAGCCGUCCAGGGGAUCUGCCACUACUUGGCCGGGCCCUACGGGCUGCCGCCGGCCGCGUCACCAACCAUCGCCACCGGGCCGAUGCUGCCGCCGUGGCAGCCGCCGCACCCGGCGGCCUCCGCCGCCACCACCCUGGCAGCCUUGGCAGCCGUCGCACCCAGGGGCCACCGCGGCGCUGGUCGGGCCGCUGCAGCUGCAGCCAGCCCCCGCCACCGCCCCGCUCUGGCCACAAUGGAUGGCCACGGUCAUCGCGGCGCCUGCCGCCUCCGCCGUUUCCAUGCAGCAGGCCUCCGCCGGCCAGCACCAGGCUGACUACAACCGCGCCGGCGGGCGUGCCGAUUCAGCAAGUGCGGUUCCCGCCCUCGCCAUCACAGCUUCCGGUCUGGUUGGCCGGGACGUCACCGCCGUCAGUCUACACCAUGGCCGCGGAUCAGCCGGCGCCCUCCUUGCCGUACGGCGGGCCCUGCGGCUCCGCGGGUUUCCACGCUGGCUUCGACGGGCCACCGCUUCCCCGAGGACCACCUGUGCACACCGGACCGACGCCAUCCUCUUCGCUGCUCCGUACCAAAGAGCCGUACGCUCACGGCGGUCAUGCUCAGACACCGCCGCGCUUCGCCAAGCUCGACUUCGCCACCUAUGAUGGCGCCGAGGACCCCCUCAACUGGCUCAACCAGUGUGAGUAAUUCUUCCGGGGGCAACGCACGCUCGCGUCGGAACGCACCUGGCUCGCCACAUAUCACCUUCGGGGCGCCGCACAGACAUGGUACUAUGCCCUCGAUCAAGACGAGGGCGGCAUGCCCCCAUGGGAGCGCUUUCGCGAGCUAUGCCUCCUUCGCUUCGGGCCGCCGAUACGCGGGAGCCGGCUGGCGAAACUCGACCGUCUCCACUUCACCUCCACGGUGCAGGACUUCACCGACCGCUUUCAAGCCCUGGCGUGCCACGCGCCCGGCAUAACGGCUCGCCAGCGGGCCGAGCUCUUCAUCGGCGGUCUGCCGGAUCAUCUCCGCGUGGACGUGGAGCUGCGGGGACCCCAGGACCUCCAGACGGCCAUGUACUACGCCCGCGCAUUCGAGCGCCGCGCGAUGGCCAUCCAGCAGGCAUCACCGUCCCGGGCCGCUGGGCCGCCACCCGGGCCGGACAUUCCCGCGCAGGGUUGGCCUGCUCAGGUUUCCGCGGCACCCCUCGCCGCGACCGCGGCGCGCCCGUUCCCCCGGCUCACCUCGGCCGAGCAACUCCAGCGUCGCCGCCAAGGGUUGUGCUUCAACUGCGACGAGCCCUACGUGUCUGGCCACGUCUGCCCGCGACUCCUCUACCUAGAGGCUGCGGACUACAUUGAGGCCGACGCCGCCGCUGCCGGCCUCGGCUACCUGCCCGCCUAAGCUGCCGCGGAGGUGUUUGGCGACGGUUGAUCACCUCGAGGAGUUCCGCAAGCGCUUCCCCGCCUUCCAGCUCGAGGACGAGCUGUUUGUGCAGGAGGGGAGAAAUGUUAUGAGCGGCAUAUAUUACAGCCCAGGCAUCUAGGGGCCUGGCCCAGUUAUCUUAUCGUGUUAGGGGCUCAGCCCAAUUAUAUCAUUAGGAGGAUUAUAUAAGCUCAUGUAAGGACCCGUUUUGAGAUUAAGCAAGAAGCAAUCAUAUUUGCUCGGCUUCCUUAGGGAGCCGGGAGACCUAACCCUAGCCGCCUCCUGCCCUCGCGCCAGCCUCCUCCCUCACACACGACGGCGCCCAGCCGUCGACGUCCGCGGGUUCGUCCACGUCCAGCACCCUCCUUCCCCUACAACCUCCGGCCUAGUCCGCGGGUUCGUCCACGUCCCCCUACUAGUUAGUGUUAGAGUACGUAAUGGGCCUAAUGGCCUAGGCUGGCGGUAUAGCCCGUUAGUCUUAGGGUUAAUUAGAUAUAAGGGUCGCUUGCUUAUGGGUCAAGUAAGCCUUGCUUGGGAGUCAAGUAAACCUCUCUAUAUAAAGAGAGGAGAUGUAUCAAUCUAAUCAAGCAAGAAUUAAGAAGGAAAUCCCUUCCCUCUUGCCCGGCUGGGGCCUUCUCGCACCCUCCUUCUAGCAGCGCCAUAACAGUUUGGUAUCAGCUAGCUUCAGUUCAAUCAUGUCUUCACCGCCGCCCAACCCGUCUCUUCUGCUGCCGGGAUCCUCCGUCGCGCCCGCCCCCGCCGUCCCCGGAGGAGGUGUCCGGGGCGCUGCGGGACCUAACCCAGGCGGUCCAGGAGAUCCGCCUGUUCUUGGCCGGGUCCUACAAGCCGCACCCGGCUGCGCCGCCCAUCGCCGCCACCGCGCCGCCGUGGCAGCCGCUGCAGCAGCCAUCCACCGCCCCGCCCUGGCUGCAGUGGCAGCCGCCACUCCUUGCGGCCUCCGCCGCNNNNNNNNNNNNNNNNNNNNNNNNNNNNNNNNNNNNNNNNNNNNNNNNNNNNNNNNNNNNNNNNNNNNNNNNNNNNNNNNNNNNNNNNNNNNNNNNNNNNNNNNNNNNNNNNNNNNNNNNNNNNNNNNNNNNNNNNNNNNNNNNNNNNNNNNNNNNNNNNNNNNNNNNNNNNNNNNNNNNNNNNNNNNNNNNNNNNNNNNNNNNNNNNNNNNNNNNNNNNNNNNNNNNNNNNNNNNNNNNNNNNNNNNNNNNNNNNNNNNNNNNNNNNNNNNNNNNNNNNNNNNNNNNNNNNNNNNNNNNNNNNNNNNNNNNNNNNNNNNNNNNNNNNNNNNNNNNNNNNNNNNNNNNNNNNNNNNNNNNNNNNNNNNNNNNNNNNNNNNNNNNNNNNNGCCGCUGCCCCAGGGCGUCCCCGCCGAGCCGCUGCAGCUGCCAUCCACCGCCACCACCGCCCCGCCCUGGCUACAGUGGCAGCCUCCGCCGCGCCCGGCGCUCCGCUGCAGCAUCGACUGCACCGGCGGGAGUCACGAUCCACCAGAUCAAGUUCCCGCCGUCGCCAUUACCGCUUCCCCAGGGCGUCCCCAUCCAGCAGAUCAAGUUCCCGCCGUCGCCGUCACCGCUUCCGGCUUGGAUCACUACCCGCCACGUGUCGGCGGCGGUGAGGCUGCAGGCUGCUACGCGCGGCCUCAUAGCGCGUCGGCGUGUGCGGGAGAUGUGUGGUCUGCAGCUGCCGCUCCUCCCAGCUGCGCUUCGCUGCGCAAAGGACCUCGAUUUCGUCCGCUGUGUCGGGGAUCUUGGGCAUGUUGUUUUCCCCGCGGGCAGCGACCUCAAAGUCUGCGACAUCGGCGGUUGGGGGGGGCACCCCUCCCCGUCAUUCUCCAUGGCAAGCCCUCCACUCUUCUCUGUGCGAUGCAGACCAAUAGCCAUCCGGCGCAGAGAAGGCAGGGUGUCACCAACAGGAGCGCACCGCGUAGCACCACUGCAUUCCGCCGGCCGCCACGAGGGCGUCUUUGCUGGUCGCUCUUGCGACCACUUCCAGAUGGCCAUACACAUGCACUCCUUUUGUCCAGAUGGUGUCCAUGGGAUCCAGGUGGCUGUACACGUGCACGUCCGACGUGCGGAUGGUGUCCACUUUUUGUUAAGGGGUCCAAAAUAAAUCGUCCCAGUCCAUUUCAGGUUGAGAGUAAUAAAACAAGCCAAGAUGUAAAAGGCUUGUUUUUAGGUGUUAGGUUUGUGUUGCGUCGAGUCAUGGUUAUAAGUUGGUUAGGCUGCAGCUCGAGGACAAGCUGCAUGUCCAGGUGGGGUGUAGUGUUAGAGUACGUAAUGGGCCUAAUGGCCUGGGCUGGCGGUAUAGCCCGUUAGUCUUAGGGUUAAUUAGAGAUAAGGGUCGCUUGCUUAGGGGUCAAGUAAGCCUUGCUUGGGAGUCAAGUAAACCUCUCUAUAUAACGAGAGGAGAUGUAUCAAUCUAAUCAAGCAAGAAUUAAGAAGGAAACCCCUUCCCUCUUGCCCGGCCGUGGGCAAAUAGGCCCCCAGCCGGCCCUCUCGCGCCCUCCUUCUAGCAGCGCCAUAACAACCAUUAAUAUAUACCAAAGUACAUGGAUUGGACAUGUAUAAAUGGUGUUGUCGUAUUUGUCUUGCAAAAUAAUUUUAUUUCAUGUCUUUAUACUAAUUUUCUAGAUGUACAAUAAGUGAAAAUCAUAGUCAAAAUUGUGCGAUGAAGACAAGAAAAAGUCAAGCGCGCCUUAUAUUUUGGGAAAGAGGGACUGCUACUACUUAUUCUCAGUUUUUGUAACUGUUAGUUUUCGAAUUGAUCUUGAAACACAUCAAAUCUUCAUGUAGCAUAUUGUUUCAUCAUGUGUACAAAAUCAUGUGCGCUCUUUCUUCAGAAAAGAUGAUGCAUCUGUGUAAACUUCGUAUGAACUUCAUGUUAAGGUUUAAGAAACCCCCAUGAAAAACAAGUAUCAUCUAACAAACAGUAGUUCUCGCUGUUUUGGCACUAUUCUUUUUCUGACUGUCAAUUUCACAACUUUCAGACUCAAAGUUCACACAGGUUAACGGGUCAACCCUCACUGACCCAAGAUACUAGACUACUUGAGUAGACAUGUGAUAAUCACUGAUCUUGGACAGCAUUUAUUUACACAGCAAUCAUGCUACAAAAUCUUACCACUUAAUGUUAUUUACUGAAUAAAUGGAUUUCUCGGCCGUGUCAUUUUUCCUUCUCUUUUUCUUUCGUGAAAAAAUUAAUGCAAAAAGUACAGAUGACAUGAUAACUUAAAUAUGCAUGUAUUGUCUCCAUCCUAUAUUACAUCAAGGUAGCCUCCAUUCUCCAUUACAAAACUUCGUUCCCUAGUAUUUUCUAAUCAUAUUUUUACAAAAUUAUAAAGAUGUAUUAUGGAAAUAAUUUUGAUAACAAAUCUAAUGAUGUCAUUUCCAAGUGGGGCAUCAUGAAGUUUGAAAAACAAUAAGUGCAGGCAUUCAAGAUGAUAUUUGAAAACGAGGGAGUAAGGAGUAACGAGAAAUAAAUGGAUCAGCGAGAAUUAAGCUAUUAUGUUUGUAUACCUCAUCAACAGCACACUUCUCUGAUGUUCGCAUAUGCAUGGCAUUUGAAGGUUCCUGAUCAUUAUUACAUCGUACAGUCCCUUCCUGUUCUGAUCCUAAGCGAGAAACACUACACCAAUCAAUUUUUUCACUAUUCAAAAGAUGGUGUGAUGCUCUUCUCUCCUCAACGAUGUUCAAUACUUUCUUUGGCAUUUCCGCUGGAAUUUUUGGGCAGCUGCUAUCAGUAAGAUGAUCCUUCGCUGUAGUUGCCCCACCCUGUAUUGAGUUAUUACACUCUAAUUUCAACUUCCGCAACAAAUUCAGAAGUCUAUGAAAGUCUUACUCAUUAUAAGAAAUAUAUUAGGACUAUCACUAAAGUGACAGACCCCUGUCCCCCACGUCCCUCUCGGAGGCGACAUGGGGGAACCCUAGCCACCCCCGCCGCCGGCCCUCCUCCACCCUCCCCUCCCCCUUGCCGCCGCCGAGGGCCACUGCAGGGCAAAGCCCGGGCAGUGCCGGCGGCGGCGCGGCCUCUCCCCUGGCACGGCUCUCCCACACGGCUCUCCCAUCUUCCUCGCGGCGGCGCAGUCACUCCCGGUGGGCUUGGUGGCGCGGUGCUUCGAAGUUCCGGCGGCGGCUCGUUCUGUGGCGGGGUGGAGGGUCUGUCCCCGUCCGGUGGUGCUGCCUACACAGCGGCUGUGGCCUGAGGCUCUUGACCACAGAUUGGAUCUGGGUGCUGCUCGGGCCCGGCUGUGGCUGCCUGUCAAGCGUGGUGGCGGCGAGUCUCGCGGCCUCUGGGCACCGUGGAGGUGUCAGAGGUGGCGCGGCGGCGUGUGCUGGGCCUGGUGGUGCUGAUGAUGGCAGCGGCCCGUGCAUGAGAGUUGGAUUUCUUCGAACAGAUCUGGGUGAAAACUUGCUUUCGGCUACUGCCAAGGCUGGCAGUGGCGGCGCUAUAUGCGUCGUUCCCUUCUUGAAGGCAUCGCCCUGGAGAAGUUCAAGGCCACUCUCUGCUACCUCCGGGAGAAACCCUAGAUCAGAUGAUCGGAUGACGGCGGCGCUCUGGUGUCGUUCCCCCCUUGGGGGCGUCGUUCUUGGAGGUACACACGGGAUCGAGGGACCAGUGGACGGCUUCUUUGGUGGAGCGGUGCUUCAUCUCACACAUUGAUGGUGCAGCGGAUCUCGGUGGCAUGGUGCUUUGGAGACUCGGCGUCCGAUGCGCGGAGACGGACUCGCGUAGGAGGAGGGUGUUGUCUGGCGUCGAUGGCAGAGAGGCCUGGCAAAGUCGAUGCAUUAGUUUCUGCUCUGAAGACGGAUGGAAGAUGGCGGCGACAACACAGAGAGGCGUCGGACCAGCUUGUGCCCCAAACCUAGUAUGUGGCUUGGUUGGGGCCUCCAGCUUUAGAUGUUAGGCAUUUGUGCGAUGUCUGUUUGGUAUUAGGCUCGGACUAUCGGCAUCCCUUCAUCAGGUGGAUAGGAGUAGCGACAGUUGUUGCUAAGAUGGUGGCUUCAGAUUACCUGAUGUACUACUUUGUAAGGUCUAUGUGAAUAAUUAAUAAAAUGGCUGCAUGCAUCGCCCAGAUGCAGAGGCCGGGGGUAAUCCUCCUUUUCUAAAAAAAGAUAUAAUUAUAAUACGUCACUUAGUAAUGAUAUCUAUUUAGUUAGGAAAGAGAUCAGUUUAGUUAGCAAGAUAAAGUAUAUGGUUUUUAAGGAAGGUCGAGAUUCUAUUCUUGGGUAUCAAGUUGAGUCUUCCGUACAAAAGGGACGCCAUGUACCUGUAUGGACUAUCUAAUGAAUGAGAAUAAAUUAGGAAAGAUAUAAUCCCUGUCCUCUGUUAGGAAAAUAUGCAACUUGUAUUCCCAUGAGGCCAUAGGCCGAUAUAUAUACAUGUACAGGUGUGGAACAUAUGCAGGAAACCCCUUAUACAACGGGAUAAAUACAAAGGGGUACAUGACUUAUAUUAUAACUCUAACACCCCCCUCAAACUCAUGGUGGAUGAACAACACUGAGUUUGGAGAGAUAAAAGCCAUGUUGUGCUCUAGUCUGGGCCUUCGUCAGGAAAUCCGCCAACUGUAACUCGGAAGGCACAUACUGAAGAGCAAUAACCUGAUCCUGCACACCAGCGCGCACAUAGAAAGCAUCAACACCAAUAUGCUUGGUGAGCUCAUGCUUCACAGGAUCGCGCGCAAUGCUAAUAGCACCUGUACUGUCAGAUAAGAGCAGAGUCGGUGUAGUGACAGAAACACCAAAAUCCUGAAGUAACCACCGUAACCAAGUCACCUCUGCCGUCAAAAGAGCCAUGGCUCGCAACUCAGCCUCAGCACUCGAACGGGAAACUGCAAUCUGUUUCUUCGUCUUCCAGGCAAUGAGAGAACCACCAAGAAAAACACAGUAAGCAGAAAGUGAACGGCGAUCAGAAGGAUCACUAGCCCACGUAGCAUCCGAAUAGGCCUGAAGCUGUAAAGAACUGGAGCUAGGAAAGAAUAGACGUGAGAGAUCGUGCCCCGGAGAUAUCGGAGAACACGAAGGAGAUGACUAUAGUGAACCGAUGUGGGAGCAGAGACAAACUGACUCAAAAUAUGAACCGGAUAAGAGAUGUCCGGACGAGUGACAGCUAGAUAGACAAGACUGCCAACAAGAUGACGAUAACGCGUCGGGUCAGGGAGAGGAUCACCAUCAGUAGCACGGAGGUGAACAUUGAGCUCCAUAGGAGUCUCAACAAUGCGCUCGUCAGUAAGAGCAGCACGAGCAAGAAGAUCCUGGAUAUACUUUUCCUGGGAUAUAAAAAAGCCAUCAGAGGUAGAAGAGACUUCAAUCCCAAGAAAGUAGCGAAGAGGUCCAAGAUCAGACAUAAGAAACUGCUCAUUAAGACGGGCCUUUACGAAGGCAAUAUACUCGGGGUCAUCCCCAGUGAUGACCAUGUCAUCAACAUAGAGAAGAAGAAGAGUCCGACCACGAGGAGAAAGGUGAAUAAACAAGGCUGGAUCAUGAGCACUUGCUGAAAAACCAGCAGUAGUGACCACAGAGGCAAAACGCUCAAACCAGGCGCGAGGGGCUUGCUUAAGGCCAUAGAGAGAGCGACGAAGACGACAUACCAUGCCAUCAGGAACAGAAUACCCAGGGGGUGGCUGCAUGUACACCUCCUCACGCAGCUCACCAUUAAGAAAGGCAUUCUUAACAUCAAGCUGAGAUAUAGACCAGUGGCGUGCAGAGGCAACGGCAAGAAGUGUACGAACAGUGAUCAUAUGGGCCACAGGAGCAAAAGUCUCGUCAUAAUCACGACCAUGCUCCUAUUGAAAACCACGAGCCACAAGACGAGCUUUGUGACGCUCAAGAGAACCGUCGGAGCGAGUCUUAACCUUGUAGACCCACUUACAAGUGAUGGGACGGACUCCAGGAGGAAGAGAAACAAGAUCCCAGGUACCAGUGCGUUCAAGAGCAGCAAUCUCCUCUGCCAUCGCAAACUGCCAUUCAGGAUGAACAACAGCCUGGCGAUAAGAAGUCGGCUCAAGAACAGCAGCACCAGCGGUGGGAAAACCAAAGCAAUCAACAAGCAGACGAGGACGAGAACGCAAGCCAUAAGUAGGCUGAGAGGAAGAGGACGACUCAUCUAAUGAGGCAUCCACAGGUCGUGAACGACGAGUGUAAUGCUGAGGAAAAGAUGAAACAAUAGAAGGAGGAAUCGCCAAGGUAGAAUCGGGGGUGGUGACGAAGAAGUCACCGGAGAUGAAGGUGUAGAAUCCGGUGACAUGCUAGGCGAGGAGACCGGAGAAGAUGGUGGCUGCAAAUCGACUAGAGGUGGAGAAGCAGAGGAAGUGGAACGAAUAGGCACAGGCGCGACGGGGGUGAUAGGUGAGUCAGGAAAAGUGAGGAAAGAGAUAUCCUCCACUAAAAAAAUCGAGGAAGAUGGGCGUGGGUAGAAGGGACGAGACUCAUCAAAAGUCACGUCUCGAGAGAUACGCAUCCGACGACCGAUAGAAUCCCAACAACGAUAGCCCUUAUGCUCAUCACUGUAGCCUAAGAAGACACACUCAACAAACUGAGCGGUCAGUUUGGUGCGUUCGCGGGGGGCAAGAAGAACAUAGCAAACACAACCAAACAAGCGAAGCAUCGAAUAAUCGGGAGAACGAUCAAAAAGACGCUCAAAAGGAACACCACCCUGCAAAGCAGCGGACGGCUGAAGGUUGAUGAGAUAGGCGGAAGUGGAGAUAGCCUCAGCCCAAAAAUGAGGCGGAAGAGAGGCGGCGAUCAUCAUCGCACGAGCCGUCUCAAGAAGGUGACGAUGCUUGCGCUCAGACACACCAUUCUGAGCAUGAGCACCAGGACAAGAGAACUGGGCAAGAGUACCCUGCUCAGCAAGGACACCACGCAACAUCUUAGAGAUAUACUCGCCAGCGGAGUCAGCACGAAAAAUACGAAUGGGUGAAGAGAACUGAGUAUGAACCAUGGCAGCAAAACGCUUAUAAAUAGACAACACCUCACUACGAGAAGUCAUGAAAUAAAGCCAUGUGUAACGAGAGAAAUCAUCUAUAAAAAUAGACCCCAUACAUCAGAAUGGACUAAAUCGAAAGGACGCUUAGACACUGACUCACUAUGUGAAUAUGGUAACUGAAUCUGCUUGCCAAGACGACAACCCUGACACUCUAAAGAGACAUCUCCUGAGACAGACCCCAGAAGACCUCGACGAACUAAAGACGACAACCGAGAACCACACAGAUGACCAAGUCGAUGAUGCCACUGCUUGAAGGAACCAGUAGCAGAGGCGACAGAAGCAGAGGAACUGGCGAUGGUGGUGGCAGCGGAAGGAACAUGAAGCCAGUCCAACUCCCAAAGACCCUGAGAAUCACGGCGGCGAGGGCCAGCCCCAACCAGAGUGUGCGUGCGACGGUCCUGGACAGAACAAGAGUCAACGUCAAGGAUGACACGACAACCAGAAUCAGUAAGUUGACCAGCAGAAAACAGAUUCAUGGUAAGUCGAGGAACAUGAGCAACAUCAGGAACAGAAUAAGGAGUGGAAAGAUUGCCUCUACUAGCAACAGAAAGUGGAGUACCAUCAGCAGUGAAGACAUGAACAGGAGAAUCCAGCGAUCGAAGAGAGGACAAAGCGGAAGAAUGAGAAGACAUAUGAAAAGAAGCUCCAGAGUCCAGAACCCAUGGGGAUGUACCUGACUGUGUAGAGGGCGGUUGCUCAAUGCGGGAAGCAUCAGUCACAGAACCAGCAGUACCCGUCGAGGAAGAACCUGAAGCCGCGAGCAGACGCUUAAGUCUCAGAAUAUCCUGCUCAGUCAAAGCAAUGGCUGAAGCUGUCGAGGGAGAUGACGAAGUCCCUGAGGAUGAUGAUCGCGCCUUGCGCAGGUGUUUCCGCUUUGUGUAGCACUGGGACUCAAUAUGACCAUCAUUGUUGCAGUAGUCACAAUGUGGACGGGGGCGACCUGAGCCUCCAGAAGGAGUGGGCAAGAGCGGCGGAGCACUCGAGCGAGAAUGGGUCGGUGCAGCAGGUGGAGUGGAAGAAGCCCGAGUAGCGAGCACAGAGGGAACCUCCAGCAAACCAGCACCACGUAAGCGAGUCUCCUCAGCACGAAUCUCUGAAAGCGCCUCCAUGAGAGAAAUACGGCCACGAGCAAACAACUGAGCACGCCGGGGCUCAAACUCCUUACGGAGCCGAGACAGGAACUCGUAGACGCGAUGAAACUCCAAAUUGGCCUGGACAGCCUAGCAGCAGGGGCAAGUACGACAACCAGCACUGCGGAGAGAAUCAAGCUGGCGCCAGAUAGCAGAACUCUGUGCAUAAAAGUCAUCAACAGUAGAGUCACCCUGCUGAAGAGCAUACUCCUGACGAACCACAGAAAGGUAUAAGGCAUCACCAGAGGGCUCAUAGCGCUGACGAAGACAGGUCCACAUCUGAAAGACAGUAGGAAGACCCAGAAACUCAGAAGCAAACUGAGGCAGAACACUAGCAGUGAGAACAGCUACAGCACGAGCAUCAUCAUCAAGCCACUGGGUGUAAACAGACAAAGCACCAUGAUACGUCUGAAGAGCCUCCUCAUAAGCCAAAACCCUCUCAUCAUAAGCACGAUCAGCAGUCUCAUCAGCAAGCUUAGCCGCAUCCUUGGCGGCCUGAUUAGCGUCCGUAGGAAGAACCAGUGGAGUCGGCGGAGUAGGGGCCACCGGAGGGACCGGACGUGGCGGACAGCAGACCUCGGCAGAAAGAACACCCCAGAGACGAAUGCCACGCAUGUGAAUGCGCAUGAAGCCAGCGAACUCGGUGUAGUUAGUACCAUCGAAGAUCACCGGACAGCGAGGGACAGCAACAUAGCCCGAUGCAGUAGACAUUUUUUUUUUGCAGAGAUCCGAAAUCAGCAGAAUCCGGACGAGGACGGCGGCUGGGGGCGGGAUCCGGCACGGGAAUCCGGCGAAACCCAGCGAGAAUGGCAGCUGGGGGCGGGAUCCGGUGCGGCGGACCUCAGACGGCGGCAGGUGACGACGGGAUCGGGGAGCACGGCCUGGACACGAUCGGGAGGAGAGGGACCGCACGAGCGGGAGGGGAGGCAGCGGCCCAGCCUGGCGAUCCACACGGCGGCGACGACGGCGGCAGGUGACAACGGGAUCGGGAAGCACGGCGUCGACUCGAUCGGGAGGAGAGGGAUCGCACGAGCGGGAGGGGAGGCAGCGGCCCAGUCGGGUCGCGCGAUCCACACGGCGGCGACGGGGAAACAGAGCGGCGGCCACAGAGGACAAUGGCGUCGCGAGGCGGAUCAAUCAGCACGAGUUGCAGCGUGCAAAAAAUUGACCUAGCUCUAAUACCAUGUUAGGAAAAUAUGCAACUUGUAUUCCCAUGAGGCCAUAGGCCGAUAUAUAUACAUGUACAGGUGUGGAACAUAUGCAGGAAACCCCUUAUACAACAGGAUAAAUACAAAGGGGUACAUGACUUAUAUUAUAACUCUAACAUCCUCAACUUCUCCCCCUUUCAUCCCCGGCACCAUGGAGGGACAAUCCUCGGAGCUGUGCCCCAAACAUUGUCGCAUAUACGAGUCUUAGGACCUGUACCAAUCAUAGCACUUGACAGGCUGCUGGGAUUUUAGCGAUAGAACCAUUGCCGAAAGUAGAUGCGGAGAUGAUGUUCAAUGAUGAAGUUCUGCGAUGCCUACCACCAGGAACCCUUGCUCGGGUGCUCCUCACAGUGUACUAUAUAGACAUAGUACAACCGGCGAGAAACCAACGAGUCUUUGAUAACAUCUCUGACCACCCACCACAGCCAUUCUAGAUACCUAGACAUCAGUACCAAUGGUCUCUAGACCGUCCUUCUCGUGAUCCUGUGUCUAUGCCUCUGCCUAGUGUAAUUUGGUUGCCACAGCCUUUAUAUAUUAGGUCCACGUUGAAGUGUUUGAAUCCAAAACCAAACUCUCCACAAAUACCAACCCAACUGUAGCACUACAGAAAUAUUCGACACAAACUCCAACAAACAUUAAAACUAGUGAGGUCAAAGCUCAAAACCAACCAAUAAAUCAAUGGCACAAACACAACCAACCCUUUUCUCCAGGACAGACUGAACACUAAAUAUUAUUUCUUACACCAGGUUUGGAAGGAGAAUUACCUGUUUGUUUUGUGAAUUCUCAGUGUUCUUGUCCACAAUCUGGUGCUCAUUAUUUAGUACAUGAUGCUUUUCAUGCUCCAUUGGUAACUGCUCCUCGGGCCAAUCACUGCAUAUCUUUGACUGUUCAUAAUUCUCAACUGGUUGUCCACAAUGAUGUUUACUGCAUUGGUUGCUUCGAGCUGCCAACUUAUAAGAGAGAAAAAAAUAGGUGGGUAAGUUCAGAUGCUAUAAUAGCUACUUGGAAGAGCUAAGAUGGGUUACGAAGACAAAAAAAGAUGAUGUAUCUGAUGUAAGUUUCUUGUCCAGGUUUAAGAAAAACCCAGGAAAAAUUAAUAUCAUGUAAUAGCAGGUUUCACUGCUUUGGCACUAUUUAAUUUGCAGAUCAUCAAGAUACUUGACUAUUUGAGUAAGCAUGUGAUAAUCAGUGAUCUUGGAUAGCAUUGAUUUACACAGGAAUCAUGCUUAAAAUCUUACCACUUAAUGUUCUUUAAAGAAUAAAUCAAUUUCUGUACCGUGUCUUUUUGUUUCCUCUUCUUUUCUUUUCAUGAAACUGCACAAAGUACGAAUGGCAUGAUACGCAAGUUUGUACUGUCUCCAUCCUAUUUUACAUCAAGGCAGUCCCCAUUCUCCAAUACACAACUUUGUCCGCUAGUGUUUUCUAUUAUACGUUAAAAAUAUAAACAUAUAUGAUGGAAAUAACUUUGAUAACAAAUCUAAUGAUGCCAUUCCUGAGUGAGAAAUCUUAUCCGUGACCAAAAUUUCAAUAACAAUGGCUUCAGACAGUAGAAAUGAUAUUUGAAAACGAGGAAGUAAGGAGUACAAAAAGUAAACGGAUCAGCAACAAUGUUUAACUUCCAAAUACCAUUAUUUGAAAACGAGGAAGGAAUAACAAAAAGUAAAUGGAUCAGCAACGCUGUUUAACUUCCAAAUACCAUUAUUUGAAGGUUGCUGAUCAUUCUUACAUGGUAAAUGAUAUUAGGUUAACUUUGUAUACCUGAUCAAUAGCGCACUUCUCCGAUGUUUGCAUAUGCAUACCAUUAUUUGAAGGUUGCUGAUCAUCCUUACAUGGUACAGUCCCUUCCUCUUCUGAUCCUAAGCAAAAAAACACUUAACACAAUCAAUUUUUUCGCUAUUCAAAAGAUGAAGUGCUGCUCUUUUCUCUUCAACGAAGUUCAAUACUUUCUUUGACAUUGCAAUUGGAAUUUUCAGGCAGCUCUUUUUUUUCGAGAAAACGCAAAAGCUUUGAGUUUCAUUGUAUUGAAAAGGAGUUUGGUACAAUCCUCCUAGGAGGCUGGUUACAAGGCAAGUACAGGCACAUUAGUGAACAUCCCAGGUUUUCAGGCAGCUCUUACCAGUAAGAUGAGCCUUCAAUGUAGUUACGGCACCUUGUAUUGAGUUAUCACACUCUAAGUUCAACUUCUGCAAGAAAUUUAGAAGUCUAUUAACGUCUUACUCAUUAUAAGAAAUCUAUAAGUAGUAUCACCAAAAGUCUGUUAGGAUUUUAGCGAUUGAAUCAUUGCAGAAAGUAUGGCGAGGUGAUGUUUAAUAAUGGGGUUCGGUGGUGCCUACACUCUGGCAGCCCUUACUCAGGUUCUCCUCCAUGUGUACUAAAUCGACAUAGGCUACCCGGUGCCUUUAUAUAUUAGGCACAGGUUAUAAGUGUUCGACUCCAACACAAAACCCUCCACUAAUACCAGUCCAAAUGUAGCCCUAUACACCAUUCGACACAAAUUCCGACAAACUUCAAAAUCCCUAUUAUUGUGUCGGUUUUUUUAAGGAGAACUACCUCUCUGUUUUGUGGAUUCCCAUUGUUCUUGUCAACAAUGUGGUGCUCAUUAUUUAGUACAUGGUGCUUGCCAUUCUCGAUUGGCAACUGCUCCUCUGCGCAAUCACUGCCUUUCUUUGACUGUUCAUAAUCCUCAACUGGUUGGCCACUAUGUUCUGUACCACACUGGUUGCUUCGAGCUGCCAACUUCUCAAAGAAAACAAACCAAAAUAGGUCAGUAAGUUCAAAUGCUAUGAUAGUUUCUCAAAAGAACUAAGAUAAGUUAUAAAAAAACAAAAAGAUGGCGUAUCUGGUGUAAACCCCCUUUUCUAUUUUAAACCGAACCCAUGUGAACUUUGUGUGCAUGUUUUCUGAAAGUAGAUUUCAUUGUUUUGGCACUCCUUUUUCUGCUUGUCAAUUUUACAACUUUCAGAUGUAAAGUUCACACGAGUCGAAAGUUAACACUGAAAGACAUAGUGAGCGGUUAGAUAGUCCACAUGCCAAAUUUUAAAUUGCAACAUGCUAACUUAUAGGUGCCUGACGGAGUAGAACCCAGCAGACCCUUCGAUGGAGUGUUGUAACUAGCCAGAAAGAGCAGAGGGGAAACAGGAGACCGGAUUACCUAGGUUCAGACCCUCACAGUGGAGGUAAAGCCCCUACUCCUGCUCAUGUUAGAUUGGUAUACAUGGGUGUACAGGGUACAAUGGUGAAUCAAGGGGUGAUGGUAGGUAUGAGAUUGGAUGCCCUAUCAACUAGCCCAGCCCCGACUUAUACAGGAUGCCUGGGGCCUAGGGUUACAAGAAUCCUAGCCGAUCUAAGGAGGUGGAGGAAUCCUCCUAGGACCCGGCUUCCUUGUCUUGCGCUCCAAGUACUCAGGGUCCUUCCUUCUAAAGGGCCCACGGCCCGGGAUGAUGGCCCUGGGCUAUAUAACACCAUCAAUGCCCUCAGAAGUAAUUCACACUCAUGGAUCUUGGACCUUGACUCAGGACAACCCGCUACUAGGGUAAACAUGAAAUGACAUUGAUUUGCAAAGGAAUCUUACUACUUAAUGUCAUUUAUUAAAAUGAAUCAAUUUCUAGACCGUGUCUUGUUAUGUUCCCUUUUCUUUUAUUUCCUUUUCAUGAAAAGGUCACUGUGCAAAGUACCAGUUGCAUAACUUGAUAAGCUUUUACUGUCUCCAUCCUCUUUACUUGUUUCCGAGUUCACACACAAAGACAGUCUACAUUCUCCAAUACACAACUUUGUCCACUAGUUUUUCUAAAUAUAUAUUAGCAAAAUUAUAAACACAUAAUUAUGGAUGUAAUUUCUAACAAAUAUGAUGAUAGCAUUCAAGGUGAGAAGACUUGUUGAUGACCAAAGUUUAAAAGGUACACCCGACAUUCAAAGUCAUAACGAUUUGAGAACGGAGGGAGCAAGGUGUAACAUAAAUUAAAUGAAUCAGCAGGAAUUAAAUUAUUGGGUUCGUAUACCUCGUCAAUAGUGCAAUUCCCUGAUGUUUGCAUAUGCAUACCAUUAUUUGAAGGUUGCUGACCAUUCUUAUAUGAUACAGUCCCCUCCUCUUUCCCUUCUGAGCAAAAAAGACUAACCCCAUCAAUUUUCUUGUAAGGGGGCCAUGGGUCCCUAUUAAAAAGUUGUCGUGCUGCUCUUUUCUCUUCAACGAAGUGCAACACUUGCUUUGACAUUUCCAUUGGAAUUUUUGGGCAGCUGCUGUCAGUAAGAUGAGCCUUCAAUGUAGUUACCCCACCACUUCGACAUAAAUCACACCACUUGCACUGCCACCGUUUUUUAUUUCCAUCAAGAUCCACCGCAUGCUCCCACCCAAUAUCCCUUACCCCUCGUAGCAACAAGGGAGGCUGCAAAACAAUGUAAAACAUGGAUCAGUACAAGGUUACUGGUAGCGCUCAGCAGAUGCACACAAAAAUUGAUGAGAUGUAAAUACAAAUAAUCAGGACAAGGAUUUUGUGCUCAUGGUUGGGUUUGUACUUAUUUUGAUUUGUGCAUUUCAAAUGAGCUUGGGAAUAUCAUAGAUGUAAAGAGAUGCUAUAGCAUGUGCACAAGCAAAACAAUGUACAAACAUAUGACAGUUUGUGCACUGUUCUUAAAAGAUGAAAGAGGAAGAAUGUUCUCGCCGAACAUAUUUUCACAAACUUGUCUGUUUUGACAGUGCAUGGGUGAUUUUUUAUUUCAAAUCACACUCAGCAGUGAGCGCUAGUCUUCAAGGGUACUAAAUCCAGAAAUUUCACAAUCUCACAGUGGUAGUUUGACAUUUUUAUUUUUACGGAUGGCUUUAUGGUGUCUUGUUAAGUUUAAUUGCCUUUGGUUAAUUCUAGAUUUUCUGAGGUACCACUGCGGAUUUGAGCUGAAAUCAGUUAGGUGUUAUAACAUACCCAUUCCAGGUCCACAGGUGCAUGAACCUAGUAAGCAUCCCAGCGAAUCAACUAUCCAAUAAUGUGAUUCUUUAUAACUCCAGAUGAAACAUGUGUUCAUCAUAAACAGAACCAUUCUAUUACUCCUUUAUGCUAAAUUAGCUAAACAAAUAGUAGGUGUCACUCUGAACAGAAAAUAAAUUAAGGGGAAAGUACACUUAUCCCUUUGCAUACCCUAAAAAUGGUAGGCUCCUGAUGAUCCGCAUUUGUCAGGUUAGUGCCUUCUUCAAGAAUGUAAGUGUCUAUUCGAGUUGGCACCUCUAAGUCAACAGGUAAAGGAUCCUUCUCAGCCUUGGUAUCAUCAGCAGAGCUCCUGGUCACACUGUUGACACCAUUCUGUGCAGCUCGCGUCUUUCGUCUCUCUCUUUUCUUCUGCAAAUGCUCCCUAAUAUUUUCAGCAACAUCUGCUGGAACCUUUGGGCACAUUUUGACAUCCAAAUCACCAGCAAGAUGCCGUUUGAGUCUAGACACACCACCACCAUACCUAGUCAGGUGACAAUACAUACACUUCCAGUGUUGUCUGUUUUCAUCAAUCAUUAUCCCGUGCUUCCAUCCAAUAUCCCUACUUUUCCAGAAAGUAUCAUUAACCUGCAAAAAGUUAUGAUCUCUUGAACAAUGAUACAGAAGUAGUAAGAUCAACUUUGCAUUAUAUAUGCAAAUAUAAGUAGCUCAUUCAAGUCAGAAUAAAUGAAGGCCCUGAAAUAGAGUUUAAUAGGUCAGCAAGAAUGUCACUUACUGAAGAAAAAGAUAGAAACAAAAUUAAAAGCUGGCAAAGUAAAAGGUAUAGUUUUAAUCUAUGCAACACCAACACGGAUAUGUGACGAAUUGGACAGGGGGGUACUUACAUUUUUAUAAAUGCUAAUACACAGUGGUGGCUUGACGCUGGUGAUUUGUAUUAGUUUAAUAUUAACUCUCCCGAUACUUGGUGGACAUGUAUCCAGCAUGUAACCAUAUAACAUAGGGUAUCCGACAAGAUACGCCGGGUUUUGCAUGUUCUGUUAUUUCAUUUUCACAGGUUUCAAUACUAGCUGGAGAAAGGAAAAGUUCCUCCAUGCUACUCUGUUUGACCGACAAAACAGAUUGGCAAAGAUACUACUCAAUGUUUUUCUUUUCUUUUUUCCGAGAAACAACCACUCAAGCUUUUGACACGGCAAAAUCAAAUGUGACACUCUUUUACCAUUAGCAAAGUAAUUUCCAGAUUGCAAAAGGCAAAAGCUAAAUGUUGCCCCCAGCAAAUUGCUUGGCGAGCAUAAGAUACUCUGUAACCAGAAAUUUGCAGUCAUGGAGACCAAAAGCAUAUAAUAGACCACUGAUAAACAAGCUCUUAUACUUACUCAUCAAUUCUUCACCCAUUUGAUUACCGAGGUCAAGUGGUAAUCCUGGAAAAUUCAUAAGGCUUUGGUAAUAUGCACCCUAUCACUGAUGCCCUCUCGCAGUCAUGCAACUACCAAGUUGAUGCCACUAAUCCAUUCUAACAGGCCAAAAUAAAAUCUUUGGCUAGCGUAAAGCCCUAACUAUGCCACAUUACAACUGAAGUCUCUUUCUAACUCAGCACCAUGUAAUACACAGAUUUCAGUUGAAGAUUACACCUGCUGCUCCGGCACAUCCACGGGCUUGGGCUCAGGCUCAGGCUCUGGCUGACGGCGUCUCUUGUAUGUGCGCAGAGCCUCCUGGGACGACCAAUCCCUCAAAUGCAUCUUGUCAUUCCCUUUGUCCUUGUUGGCAUCCAUCUUCCACCGCCAGGGUUUCGGUCAAGAAACCAAAUAUUCCUGCAUCCAUGCCAACCAACAUCCUCAGAACAGAAAAAAAAAUUACUGAGAAAAGAAGCUGCACUUGCAAUUAGUUCCCAAUCCAACAGACCGAUCAGAAAGAUUCGAGCUCCGAUUCCCAAAAAAAGAAGGAAAAAAAAAAGCAAGCACCAAGAAAGUUCAAAUUUUGGGGGAAAUAACGCGGUCAAAGCCGCGGAGAAACAUGGCUCCGAUUCCCGAGCAGUACCUGAAGAAGGCGACGCCGACGCCGUGGGGGGAGCUGGAUUCAGGUCGGAAUUCAGGAGGGGUCGGAGGUAGAGGGGGAUGCGAAAAACAAACUGCUGGUGCUACAAGCGAGGCGAAGAGACGAGAGGAGGAAGGCUGUGCCUGUAUAAUGUUGGGUAUAGACAAGCGUGAGGAAGAGAGGAGUGACAAAAAUCCGGCACCACUUGUUGGUGGGAGUGUUUAGACCAACUUUAGCGGAGCCCGCAGUUUGCCGAACUAUAAACUGUGUUUGCAGGUCGUACGGGGGCGCUUAUGCAGGCUGAAAACUGCGGCGGCAGAAUAGAAACAGCAAACAAACCCGUAAUAUAUAUUUUUUUUAAAGUUGUUUCGCGCUAGAAAUUUAAGCAGCAGCUCGCCGGAGCUCGCUCGCAUAGAUGGUUCUUCAUCGCAUAAUAAGUUCGUACACUCCACAUACAUACAUAUUAAAGGUCAGAGAUGCUAGACAGGGCCUACACUACCGCACCACUACAACAAAAUUGAGCUCACUGGAGCUCCUGCGGUAGCUGCCCACCGGCGGCGAUCAGUUGGAGUCGGAGUCGACCUUGAUGUAGAGCUUCGCGUGCUCCGCCUUCAUCACGCGCAGGUCAGCCUCCUUCGAUGUGUGCGCCUGCGAUGACGUGACGCCCGUCUCGAGGAAGAGCCGCUCGUACUCGAGCUCGCCCGGAUGCGCUCUUCCAUCUCCUCCUGCUCCCUCACCGACCGCUCGAGGACGAUGCGCUCGAGGAGCUCCUCCUGCCCCGGGGGCGGGUAGUCCUCGGGCCCGAUGACGCCUCGGCGCAGCGGUGCAUCGGGCACGGCCUCCUCUGGCUCCCUCUUCACCACCUCCUCCGGCUCCCUCUUCACCGGAACGAGCCGCGAGCUCGAUGCGCCCGCGGAUGAGCACCCCGCGGACCAGUGGCCGGAUGAGCUCCCCGCGGACCAGUUGCCGGAGGAGGCGUGGCGGCGACGGGCGAGCUCGAGAUCGAAGUCCUCGAGCUCGCGACGGUUGAAGGCCGGCGGCAGCUGGGUACCGCAGUUGAGUCACCGACGCACCCCCCGCUUGCGCGCGCCGUCAGAUCUGGCGCGGCAGCGGCGCUCCGCCUCAUCCCCCGAGUCGUCCAUGGCGGUCCAGGGCUCGCCGGCGGCGACAAAUCGAGCGGCGCGGUGGGGAAUUGAGGGCAAACGCGGCUGCGGGGGGAUAGGGUUUCGACCCGCAUCUGCCCCGCAAACCCGUAGUUAUACUAGCUCGGGGGUAGCGUUUGCGGGCUGCGGCAAAAAUAUUUACGGGCCGGACACCGAUGCAGACUCUGGUCUGGCCAGAAAAAUGGGCCGAGCCCGUAUAAUCGCCGGAAUUAUGCGGGUUUGCGCCGGAUGCGGGGUCUGCUAGAGUUGCUCUUACUGCUGCGGCGGCCUCCCCUUCCCUUUGCUCGUCGCGUCUAAAUAGCCCUGCUAAAAGGAAAGCGCUUAGGGAGUUUGUAGACUCGAUUCAUACUGCCAUCAUGUAGAGACUAAGCUAGAGGUGGUCGAUCAAUAUAUGAUAAUGCAGUAUCUUGGGGCGGCGUAUGAUGGUUUCUUUUACCUUCCUGCCUCAAACACCCAUGGAGGAAUUUUUGUUGCUUAGGACUCCACUAAAGUGCAGUUGACAAAUUUUGUCAAUGACACAAACUUUACCACGGGUUACGUCACCCCCUUAGAAGGGUCGGCUCGGUGGCUAAUAGUGGUGUAUGGACCUCAGGAGGACGCGGAGAAAAUUAUCUUUUUAGAGGAACUUACGGCUAGACGACAGCUCUGUACGGGACCUUGGCUUGUCAUUGGAGACUUCAACAUGAUUCUAUACGCACAGGACAAGAGCAACGCACUACUAGACCGAAGGAUGAUGAGCAGGUUCAAGCGCUUCGUGGACGAUAAUGCACUCAAAGAGCAUUUUCUCCAUGGCCGCAGAUUCACUUGGAGCAGCGAACGGGAGGUACCUACUCUAACCAACACUACUAGGGAAAUGCUUAUACACAGGAGCUUAGUAGUAGCGCUUUUUUAUAAGGAAGCACUGCUGCUAAUAUAAUGGUAGCGCUUGUCACUGAAGAGCGCUGCUACUAUUCAUUUAGCAGUAGCGCUUGUGUUAUAAAGAACGCUACUACUAUAGUUGCCAACGGUUGCAUGGCAGUGUAGGUAUACUAGUAGCGCUGGUAUUUAAAAAGCGCUACUGCUAUUGUACAUAGCAAUAGCGUUGUCUUCUGACGAGGAGCAGUAGCGCUUACUUCUAAAAAUCGCUACGACUAUGCUUACCUUAUCCACACCUGGCGCCCUGCGCGCGUCCCUCACUCUCCCUCACACACUCACUCGCCGCACGUCGUCAUCGCCGUCGCCCGCCGUGGCCGCCGACUCCCCCAAGGUAUCUCCCUCCUCCUCUCGCCGCCCUUCCCUCCCUCCCUCCUCCUCCUCUCGCCGCCCUCCUUUCUCCCUCUUCCCACGGCCCUCCUCUCUCCUCCCUCUCCGCCGGCGGCCCCUCCGAUCCUCCUCCNNNNNNNNNNNNNNNNNNNNNNNNNNNNNNNNNNNNNNNNNNNNNNNNNNNNNNNNNNNNNNNNNNNNNNNNNNNNNNNNNNNNNNNNNNNNNNNNNNNNNNNNNNNNNNNNNNNNNNNNNNNNNNNNNNNNNNNNNNNNNNNNNNNNNNNNNNNNNNNNNNNNNNNNNNNNNNNNNNNNNNNNNNNNNNNNNNNNNNNNNNNNNNNNNNNNNNNNNNNNNNNNNNNNNNNNNNNNNNNNNNNNNNNNNNNNNNNNNNNNNNNNNNNNNNNNNNNNNNNNNNNNNNNNNNNNNNNNNNNNNNNNNNNNNNNNNNNNNNNNNNNNNNNNNNNNNNNNNNNNNNNNNNNNNNNNNNNNNNNNNNNNNNNNNNNNNNNNNNNNNNNNNNNNNNNNNNNNNNNNNNNNNNNNNNNNNNNNNNNNNNNNNNNNNNNNNNNNNNNNNNNNNUCCCUCCUCCUCCUCCCACCUCCUCCUCCCCCUUUCUGUAAAUAGGUUUUAGUUUUUGUUAAAUGUAGGUUUUUGUUUUUAGUAAAUGUAGGUUUUUAGUAUAUUUUGUUUUUAGAUAACUUGAAUAAGUAAUUUGAAAAGAAUAAGUAAAUGUAGGUAUUUUGAAUAGAAUAGGAAAUUUUUAGAAAUUUUGAAUAAGUAAAUUUGAAUAGAAUAAAAUAUGAAAUUGAAAAAAUAAGUAAAUGUAGGUCUUUUGAAUAGAAUAGGAAAUUUUUAGAAAAUUUGAAUAAGUAAAUUUGAAAAGAAUAGGAAAUUAUAAGUAAAUUUGAAUAGAAUAAUUAAAUGUAGCUUAUGGAGUUUCACUAAGUCCUAAGAUGACGAUAAUAAUGUUUUUGUUUAUAUUUUGUUUUUGUGGAAAUCAAGGAGCCCCUGCAUCAUCCCGCCGUCGUCCCCGUCACCGACCCCCUCCGACCUCGAUCGAGGUGAGACCAGCCACCCCAUGUUGUUAAUUUAAUUUAGGUAUUUUAGGUGUUUAAUCUUAGAAUAAUGUAGUAUGAACCCUAGUUAUGAUCGAAUCAUGUUCAAAAUGUUGGUUUUUAAUUAGGUGUAGUUAAUAGAAUUUAGGUGUUUUAGGUGUCACAUUUGUUGUUAUUUUUUUAGUUAAAGCAAUUAUUCUCGCAUCGAUGUCGACGAUGCCUAUCCCGCAUCCUCGUCGUCGACUCGGCGGAAGAGCCUGCUUGAUCAGAGGGGCCAUGUCCGGGACUGGGCUUCGCCGGGCUGGUAUUGAGAGGGGCUACCUUCAGGAGGGCGCAGCUUGGUGAGGAGCCAGCCCGUCGUUGACCCGAACCUUCUUUGGUGGCGGUCGUGUGGGCCAGUGACGGUGCGGAGGCUUGAGGACCCCGCGGAGGUGGUACGUCACCGUGUCAGCGAGGAGGACGAGCACGUCCGUCGCUACAUGGUUGCAUUGGAGGGCAGGUUCUCCAAUACC
rnacentral:lncRNA from 1 species